GAACCAGUACCGUGAGGGAAAGGUGAAAAGCACCCCGGAAGGGGAGUGAAAGAGAUCCUGAAACCGUGUGCCUACAAGUAGUCAGAGCCCGUUCAUGGGUGAUGGCGUGCCUUUUGUAGAAUGAACCGGCGAGUUACGAUUGCGUGCAAGGUUAAGUUGAAGAGACGGAGCCGCAGCGAAAGCGAGUCUGAAUAGGGCGAAUGAGUAUGUGGUUGUAGACCCGAAACCAGGUGAUCUACCCAUGUCCAGGGUGAAGUCCAGGUAACACUGGAUGGAGGCCCGAACCCACGCACGUUGAAAAGUGCGGGGAUGGGGUGUGGGUAGCGGAGAAAUUCCAAUCGAACCUGGAGAUAGCUGGUUCUCUCCGAAAUAGCUUUAGGGCUAGCCUCACGAAGUAAGAGUCUUGGAGGUAGAGCACUGUUUGGACUAGGGGCCCUCAUCGGGUUACCGAAUUCAGACAAACUCCGAAUGCCAAUGACUUAUCCGUGGGAGUCAGACUGCGAGUGAUAAGAUCCGUAGUCGAAAGGGAAACAGCCCAGACCACCAGCUAAGGUCCCAAAGUAUACGUUAAGUGGAAAAGGAUGUGGAGUUGCUUAGACAACCAGGAUGUUGGCUUAGAAGCAGCCACCAUUUAAAGAGUGCGUAAUAGCUCACUGGUCGAGUGACUCUGCGCCGAAAAUGUACCGGGGCUAAACGUAUCACCGAAGCUGCGGAUUGUCCUUAUGGACAGGGGUAGGAGAGCGUUCUAAGGGCUUUGUAGCUGGACCGUAAGGACUGGUGGAGCGCUUAGAAGUGAGAAUGCCGGUAUGAGUAGCGAAAGAGGGGUGAGAAUCCCCUCCACCGAAUGCCUAAGGUUUCCUGAGGAAGGCUCGUCCGCUCAGGGUUAGUCGGGACCUAAGCCGAGGCCGAAAGGCGUAGGCGAUGGCCAACAGGUUGAAAUUCCUGUACCACCUCCUCACCGUUUGAGCAAUGGGGGGACGCAGAAGGAUAGGGUAAGCGCGCUGUUGGAUUAGCGCGUCCAAGCAGUUAGGCUGACAACGAGGCAAAUCCCGUUGUCAUAUAAGCUGAGCUGUGACGGCGAGGGAACUAUAGUACCGAAGUUCCUGAUUCCACACUGCCAAGAAAAGCCUCUAGCGAGGUGUGAGGUGCCCGUACCGCAAACCGACACAGGUAGGCGAGGAGAGAAUCCUAAGGUGAGCGAGAGAACUCUCGUUAAGGAACUCGGCAAAAUGACCCCGUAACUUCGGGAGAAGGGGUGCUUUUUAGGGUGUAAUAGCCCGGAAAAGCCGCAGUGAAUAGGCCCAGGCGACUGUUUAGCAAAAACACAGGUCUCUGCGAAGCCGCAAGGCGAAGUAUAGGGGCUGACGCCUGCCCGGUGCUGGAAGGUUAAGGGGAGAGGUUAGCGCAAGCGAAGCUUUGAACUGAAGCCCCAGUAAACGGCGGCCGUAACUAUAACGGUCCUAAGGUAGCGAAAUUCCUUGUCGGGUAAGUUCCGACCCGCACGAAAGGCGUAACGAUCUGGGCACUGUCUCAACGAGAGACUCGGUGAAAUUAUAGUACCUGUGA
rnacentral:rRNA from 1 species